rnacentral:rRNA from 1 species
GACGAACGCUGGCGGCGUGCUUAACACAUGCAAGUCGAACGGAAAGGCCCGGCUUUUGUGGGGUGCUCGAGUGGCGAACGGGUGAGUAACACGUGAGUAACCUGUCCUUGACUUUGGGGUAACUUCAGGAAACUGGGGCUAAUACCGGAUAGGAGCUCUUGCUGCAUGGUGGGGGUUGGAAAGUUUCGGCGGUUGGGGAUGGACUCGCGGCUUAUCAGCUUGUUGGUGGGGUAGUGGCUUACCAAGGCUUUGACGGGUAGCCGGCCUGAGAGGGUGACCGGCCACAUUGGGACUGAGAUACGGCCCAGACUCCUACGGGAGGCAGCAGUGGGGAAUAUUGCACAAUGGGCGGAAGCCUGAUGCAGCAACGCCGCGUGCGGGAUGACGGCCUUCGGGUUGUAAACCGCUUUCGCCUGUGACGAGGCGUGAGUGACGGUAAUGGGUAAAGAAGCACCGGCUAACUACGUG